CUCCUCUCUCGCUCUCCCUUCAGAUUGGUGGUACCCAUAUCAGGACAUCCUUACAAGCACGUUAUCUUGGCGUUACUUUUGAUUCUGGCCUCACCUUUGAGCCUCAGAUCCGGUCUGUUGUGAAAUCAUGCCAAUUCCACCUUAAAAAUAUUGCCUGCAUCCGCCCCUUUCUUACACAAGAUACUACUAAAGAGCUUGUCCAUGCUCUAGUAAUUUCUCGCAUGGACUAUUGUAACUCUCUCCUAAUUGGUCUUCCCAAAAGCUGUAUUGCCCCUCUACAGUCUGUAAUGACUGCUGCUUCCAGACUGAUUUUCCUCUCUAGUAAGUCUUCUCACACCUAACCCCUCUCUCAGUCUUUACAUUGGCUUCCUUUAUCCUAUAGGAGUCAAUUAAAAGUGC